rnacentral:rRNA from 1 species
GGAAUAUUGCACAAUGGGGGAAACCCUGAUGCAGCGACGCCGCGUGAGCGAUGAAGUAUUUCGGUAUGUAAAGCUCUAUCAGCAGGGAAGAAGAUGACGGUACCUGACUAAGAAGCCCCGGCUAACUACGUGCCAGCAGCCGCGGUAAUACGGGGGAUGCAAGCGUUAUCCGGAUUUACUGGGUGUAAAGGGAGCGUAGACGGCGAUGCAAGCCAGAUGUGAAAGCCCGGGGCUCAACCCCGGGACUGCAUUUGGAACUGUAUAGCUAGAGUGUCGGAGAGGCAGGCGGAAUUCCUAGUGUAGCGGUGAAAUGCGUAGAUAUUAGGAGGAACACCAGUGGCGAAGGCGGCCUGCUGGACGAUGACUGACGUUGAGGCUCGAAAGCGUGGGGAGCAAACAG